CAGUAGCCGCGGUAAUACGAAGGGGGCUAGCGUUGCUCGGAAUUACUGGGCGUAAAGGGCGCGUAGGCGGACAGUUAAGUUGGGGGUGAAAGCCCGGGGCUCAACCUCGGAACUGCCUUCAAUACUGGCUGUCUUGAGUACGGGAGAGGUGAGUGGAACUCCGAGUGUAGAGGUGAAAUUCGUAGAUAUUCGGAAGAACACCAGUGGCGAAGGCGACUCACUGGCCCGUUACUGACGCUGAGGCGCGAAAGCGUGGGGAGCAAACAGGAUUAGAUACCCCGGUAGUCCCUGUCUCUUAUAC
rnacentral:rRNA from 1 species